rnacentral:rRNA from 1 species
GAUGAACGCUGGCGGCGUGCCUAAUACAUGCCAGUCGAGCGAACAGACGAGGAGCUUGCUCCUCUGACGUUAGCGGCGGACGGGUGAGUAACACGUGGAUAACCUACCUAUAAGACUGGGAUAACCUCGGGAAACCGGAGCUAAUACCGGAUAAUAUAUUCAACCGCAUGGUUCAAUAGUGAAAGACGGUUUUGCUGUCACUUAUAGAUGGAUCCGCGCCGCAUUAGCUAGUUGGUAAGGUAACGGCUUACCAAGGCAACGAUGCGUAGCCGACCUGAGAGGGUGAUCGGCCACACUGGAACUGAGACACGGUCCAGACUCCUACGGGAGGCAGCAGUAGGGAAUCUUGCGCAAUGGGCGAAAGCCUGACGGAGCAACGCCGCGUGUGUGAUGAAGGUCUUCGGAUCGUAAAGCUCUGUUAUUAGGGAAGAACAAAUGUGUAAGUAACUAUGCACGUCUUGACGGUACCUGAUCAGAAAGCCACGGCUAACUACGUG